UGCAAGUCGAACGCACUCUCGUUAGAUUGAAGAAGCUUGCUUCUGAUUGAUAACAUUUGAGUGAGUGGCGGACGGGUGAGUAACACGUGGGUAACCUGCCCUAAAGUGGGGGAUAACAUUUGGAAACAGAUGCUAAUACCGCAUAAAACCUAGCACCGCAUGGUGCAAGGUUGAAAGAUGGUUUCGGCUAUCACUUUAGGAUGGACCCGCGGUGCAUUAGUUAGUUGGUGAGGUAAAGGCUCACCAAGACCGUGAUGCAUAGCCGACCUGAGAGGGUAAUCGGCCACACUGGGACUGAGACACGGCCCAGACUCCUACGGGAGGCAGCAGUAGGGAAUCUUCCACAAUGGACGAAAGUCUGAUGGAGCAACGCCGCGUGAGUGAAGAAGGUUUUCGGAUCGUAAAACUCUGUUGUUGGAGAAGAACGUAUUUGAUAGUAACUGAUCAGGUAGUGACGGUAUCCAACCAGAAAGCCACGGCUAACUACGUGCCAGCAGCCGCGGUAAUACGUAGGUGGCAAGCGUUGUCCGGAUUUAUUGGGCGUAAAGCGAGCGCAGGCGGUUUCUUAAGUCUGAUGUGAAAGCCUUCGGCUCAACCGAAGAAGUGCAUCGGAAACUGGGAAACUUGAGUGCAGAAGAGGACAGUGGAACUCCAUGUGUAGCGGUGAAAUGCGUAGAUAUAUGGAAGAACACCAGUGGCGAAGGCGGCUGUCUGGUCUGUAACUGACGCUGAGGCUCGAAAGCAUGGGUAGCAAACAGGAUUAGAUACCCUGGUAGUCCAUGCCGUAAACGAUGAGUGCUAGGUGUUGGAGGGUUUCCGCCCUUCAGUGCCGCAGCUAACGCAUUAAGCACUCCGCCUGGAGAGUACGACCGCAAGGUUGAAACUCAAAGGAAUUGACGGGGGCCCGCACAAGCGGUGGAGCAUGUGGUUUAAUUCGAAGCAACGCGAAGAACCUUACCAGGUCUUGACAUCCUUUGACCACUCUAGAGAUAGAGCUUUCCCUUCGGAGACAAAGUGACAGGGGUGCAUGGUUGUCGUCAGCUCGUGUCGUGAGAUGUUGGGUUAAGUCCCGCAACGAGCGCACCCUUAUUACUAGUUGCCAGCAUUUAGGUGGGCACUCUAAUGAGACUGCCGGUGACCAACCGGAGGAAGGGGGGGACGACGUCAAUCUUCAUGCCCCUUUUGACUGGGCUA
rnacentral:rRNA from 1 species